AUUGAACGCUGGCGGCAGGCCUAACACAUGCAAGUCGAGCGAGCGGCGGACGGGUGAGUAAUGUAUGGGGACUGCCCGAUAGAGGGGGAUAACUACUGGAAACGGUGGCUAAUACCGCAUACUAUCGGAUUACCCAGAUGGGAUUAGCUAGUAGGUGGGGUAAAGGCUCACCUAGGCGACGAUCACUAGCUGGUCUGAGAGGAUGAUCCGCCGCACUGGGACUGGGACACGGCCCAGACUCCUACAGAGGCAGCAGUUGGUAAUAUUGCACAAUGGGCUCAAGCCUGAUGAGGCCAUGCCACGUGUAUGGGGAAGGCCUUAGGGUUGUAAGGUGCUUUCAGCGGAGAGGCAUUACCCGCAGUAGAAGCACCGGCUAGCUCCGUGCCAGCAGCCGCGUUAAUUC
rnacentral:rRNA from 1 species